rnacentral:rRNA from 1 species
UAAUGUGAAUUGCAGAAUUCAGUGAAUCAUCGAAUCUUUGAACGCACCUUGCGCUCCUUGGUAUUCCGAGGAGCAUGCCUGUUUGAGUGUCAUUAAAUUCUCAACCUUAUUAGCUUUUGUUAAUGAUGGAUUGGAUGUGGGGGUUUCUUUUGCUGGCUUCUUCACAGAGAUCAGCUCCCCUUAAAUGCAUUAGCUGGUGCCCCGUGUGGACCAUCUAUUGGUGUGAUAAUUAUCUACGCCGUGGAUGUCUGCAAUCAUAUGGGUUUCGCACUGCUUCUAACCGUCUGUUCAUUCGGACAAUACAUGACAAUUUGACCUCAAAUCAGGUAGGACUACCCGCUGAACUUAAGCAUAUCAAUAAGCGGAGGAAAAGAAACUAACAAGGAUUCCCCUAGUAACUGCGAGUGAAGCGGGAAAAGCUCAAAUUUAAAAUCUGGCGGUCUCCGGCCGUCCGAGUUGUAAUCUAGAGAAGUGUUAUCCGCGCUGGACCGUGUACAAGUCUCCUGGAAUGGAGCGUCAUAGAGGGUGAGAAUCCCGUCUUUGACACGGAUUGCCAGGGCUUUGUGAUGCGCUCUCAAAGAGUCGAGUUGUUUGGGAAUGCAGCUCAAAAUGGGUGGUAAAUUCCAUCUAAAGCUAAAUAUUGGCGAGAGACCGAUAGCGAACAAGUACCGUGAGGGAAAGAUGAAAAGAACUUUGGAAAGAGAGUUAAACAGUACGUGAAAUUGCUGAAAGGGAAACGCUUGAAGUCAGUCGCGUUGGCCGGGGAUCAACCUUGCUUUUGCUGGGCGUACUUUCCGGUCGACGGGUCAGCAUCAAUUUUGACCGUUGGAUAAAGUUCAGGGGAAUGUGGCAUCUUCGGAUGUGUUAUAGCCCUUGGUCGCAUACAACGAUUGGGAUUGAGGAACUCAGCACGCCGCAAGGCCGGGUACUUGUACCACGUUCGUGCUUAGGAUGCUGGCAUAAUGGCUUUAAUCGACCCGUCUUGAAACACGGACCAAGGAGUCUAACAUGCCUGCGAGUGUUUGGGUGGAAAACCCGGGCGCGUAAUGAAAGUGAAAGUUGAGAUCCCUGUCGCGGGGAGCAUCGACGCCCGGACCAGACCUUUUGUGACGGAUCCGCGGUAGAGCAUGUAUGUUGGGACCCGAAAGAUGGUGAACUAUGCCUGAAUAGGGUGAAGCCAGAGGAAACUCUGGUGGAGGCUCGUAGCGAUUCUGACGUGCAAAUCGAUCGUCAAAUUUGGGUAUAGGGGCGAAAGACUAAUCGAACCAUCUAGUAGCUG